CCAAGAAUUGCAAACUCUAGAAUCGGAAUCGCCUCGCAUCCGGCACUUGCUAUGGCCGCCGCCGCCGGGACUCCGCCGCCGCCGCCGCCGCACGCCCCGUCGGGCCCACUCGUCAUACUCCGGUGACGCCGCGCGAUGAUCCCCGGCGACCACUCCUCCGGACCCGCGGAAUUAUCCCCCGAUUGCUUUGACCCUGAAGCUCCAGGUGGAUCCGUGGCCAUUGUAUCUGACGGUUGAAGAUAUAUUUAUCCAUUUAACCCCACACGCGCUAUGUACUUUGCGCUCUCUCUCUCCUCUACAUGACAUUAUCACUUUUUUUUUUGUAUUUACCGAUAGAUGAUCCAGCCACCUGCUUCGCUCACGACGAGAAGGACUUUGAGUCGAAUGAAACCGUUUGGGCACUGUACGAGCGGUGGUGCAGCUUCCAUAGUGCGGAGCACGACCACGAUGACAUGGUCCGGUGGUUCGGAUGUUUCAAGGACAGAGCGCGCAGAAUUAUCGAGUUCAACAAGUCUAGCAAGCCUUAUAAGUGGGGGGUUGGGGCCUGGGGGCUCAACAUAUUUGAUGAUAUGACCCCGGAGGAGCUCUUCGAAUUUGGGAAUAAUUAACUAUUUGCCACUUUUACAAGUAGUUCUAAAGGAUUUGCCAUUGAACCCACACGUCAUAGACACAUGAGGGCCCACAUACAUGUCAUAGAUAGCGAGUGGCAAAUUCUUAAUUGUUAUAUCUUAAAAGUGACAAAUAGUUAAAUGUCCCCCGAAUUCAAGUGUCCACUGCUCCUGCAAAGGACUUACUAAUUUACCAAGAAGCACUUCAGUGAUAAUAUAAUGUUAUACUGAUUGAUCAUCUGCUAGCUACUUUAGGUUCAGCCUGAGUAAUCUCUACUAUACUUAAAAAGAAGCCUAGUGGUGGUCUUGAAUCCUUACCAGGCAGACCUGCGAAGUGUGAACCAUUCGAUCUCCAAAUCCAACGGCUCAGAUCGAGUUACCCCUUGUUCGCACGCCCACCACAUCCCCGUCGUUCGCACGCCCCUAUUCCCCCGUUUCUCUUCCCCUCGGCCACCUUUAACGCCGCACCCUAAUCGCCACUCGCGCCAUCUCCCACCUCGUUGGUACCCUCCGGCGCCCCCAAUCUCUGGUUCGUCAACCACCUCCGCGAGCGCUGCCCCCAACUUCCGGCUCGUCAACCACCUCCGUGCGCGCCGCGGGAACACCAACGACCACGCCGCCACCGAUUCGGAGUCGCCUUGACGACAUCUCAUCAGAUACUAACUGUUAUCCAGUGAAAGUUAUCCUUAGCAAAGGUAUAUUGUUACACACUUCUGCUUCCAUAUUUUUCGCUUUUCUCUGAGGAAUAUCUGGCAUUAUAUUGUCAUUUCUAUGCUUUUUGCAUCAACAUUGUAUCCUACAACAAAAUUUACUGUUUAGACUGGACUAUAUGAGAUUCCUUUCAAAUGUAGUUUGCACUCUGAAUUACAGAAUUCUGUUCAGUAAGCCAAACAUAAAGUUCAAGAUGAUAUUGUGUGUAUAGCCAUGUAUUCUUAAUACAUAAUCAGGACCAACAUCAAUGCCAAGCUCAGUUGUAUUUCUACGUGAUAUCGCAUUUCUUUAGCAUGCACCGAACAUUUGUCAAGUCCUCUUUUGACAAUCUGUGAUGGAUGGGUAAAACUGUAAAUGUAGUUUACCUACUGUAUGUUGAACCAUUUGACUUAUUUGGAAUUUGGACAUAGGAGUAUCAUGUCCAUCACAGUAUUAGAUCCAUAUGGUUAUUCUGGAUGGUUAUAGACCUACAGAAUGAUAGUAUUGCAGAUUUGCAGUGAUGUGUCCACUGGAUUUUUCGCUAUUAGUUGGUUUUGUAAUGUUUUGCAGCUUAGUACUGAUUUUUCGCUAUUAGUUGGUUUGUAUUUGUAAUGUUUUGCAGCUUAGUACUGAUGUUAGCAGAUUUCUGAGGUUCUGCUUUAGUUCAGAUUUCCAAUUGCAGUUUAGAAUUUUUUGUAAUCAUGUAGUUGCAGUCCAGUUUCCAGUGGGGUACUGAAUUUCCACUUGAGUGGAGAUCGUCUGAACUGAAAGCCAACAUUUGAGCUCAUGCUAUUAGCCUAUUACUGUAUCAAAUAAAACUUUGUUCUUUAUCAAAGAAGCCUUAUCAGAUUGGUGGAUCACCACCACCGACGGUAGGUAAGCUCCAUCCCUUUUGUUCUAUCCAAAAUUCCACGAAGAUCAGGUUAUGGAAUGAGAUGAACUAAUACAUCUGGAUUGGUGAGAUCAGGGUGAAUGGGGAUGUUUUUUUUUUCAGUUUUGGGAUGUUUCUCAUUUAAGUGUGAUGGUUAUAUUGAACUAUAAUGCAGGCAACACUGGCCCUUGAUGUUUUUUUCUGAAACAAAAACUGUCAGAUUAUAUCGAUCAAUCAGUAUUAACUUUGGCAACAUAAUAGGCUCACGGGGAAAGGAAACUCCCUCACGGAUUCUUCAAUUAGGAGGGACUGCAUAUUCAGCCGCUCUCUGCUGCUUAGUGGAUACUGGAUUUGAUUUAUGCAAUGAUCACAUCAGAGAGAAAUAUUAUCUGAUAGACAAUCAAGAGGUUUUAGGUUUUCAGAUAAAAUUUAGAUCAUUGCUCAAAAAGAAAACAACAUAGUGCUUGGUUACUAUGCAGUCCCUUCUGUAGCAAAACUAGCAAUACAUCAUGCCAAAUAAUCAACUUGGAAUUCAAUGUUGUGCCUUCUAUAAGAGAGUUAAAUAGUUUAGAAGAAUAUGGGUCAGAAUUAUUAUUAUUGAUUUGCUUCUGUUGUUUGCUACUGUACCAUCCUAUUCUGUUAAUGUACAGUAAAUUGUGUAAUUUUAUGUAACAAUUAAAUCUGAAUACUAUUAUAACAAUGGUAUCUUGAAAAUUUUGUAGUAUUGAAAACCACAUUCUGAACAUUAGUGCAAGUUCAGUUUUUAA